rnacentral:rRNA from 1 species
AACGAACGCUGGCGGCAUGCCUAACACAUGCAAGUCGAACGAGACCUUCGGGUCUGCUUGCGCACGCGGGCGUAGCGCGUGGGAACCUUCCCUUAGGUUCGGGAUAACUCCCCUUAAGGGGUGCUAAUACCGGAUAAUUUCUUCGGACCCAAGAUUUGUCGCGUUAGGAUGGGCCCGCGUUCUAUAAGCUUGUUGGUAGUGUAAAAGCCUACCACGGCGACGAUACAUAGCUGGUCUGAGAGGCUGAUCAGCGACUCUUGGAGUGGGCAACGGCCCAGAAUAUUACGGGAGGGAGGAGUGGCGAAUCUUGCACAAUCGCGGGAAGGAUGAUGCAGCAAUGCCGGGAGAGUGAUGAAGGUGUUAGGGAAGUAAAGCACGUUUAUCCGGGAUGAUAAUGACGGUACCGGGAGAAUAAGCACCGGCUAACUCCGUG